CAUGCAAGUCGGACGGCAGCACAGAGAAGCUUGCUUCUUGGGUGGCGAGUGGCGAACGGGUGAGUAACAUAUCGGAACGUACCGAGCAGUGGGGGAUAUCUAAUCGAAAGAUUAGCUAAUACCGCAUAUAUUCUGAGGAAGAAAGCAGGGGACCAUUUGGCCUUGCGCUGUUUGAGCGGCCGAUAUCUGAUUAGCUAGUUGGUGGGGUAAAGGCCUACCAAGGCGACGAUCAGUAGCGGGUCUGAGAGGAUGAUCCGCCACACUGGGACUGAGACACGGCCCAGACUCCUACGGGAGGCAGCAGUGGGGAAUUUUGGACAAUGGGCGCAAGCCUGAUCCAGCCAUGCCGCGUGUCUGAAGAAGGCCUUCGGGUUGUAAAGGACUUCUGUCAGGGAAGAAAAGGGCGGGGUUAAUACCCCUGUCUGAUGACGGUACCUGAAGAAUAAGCACCGGCUAACUACGUGCCAGCAGCCGCGGUAAUACGUAGGGUGCGAGCGUUAAUCGGAAUUACUGGGCGUAAAGCGGGCGCAGACGGUUACUUAAGCAGGAUGUGAAAUCCCCGGGCUCAACCUGGGAACUGCGUUCUGAACUGGGUGACUAGAGUGUGUCAGGGGGAGGUAGAAUUCCACGUGUAGCAGUGAAAUGCGUAGAGAUGUGGAGGAAUACCGAUGGCGAAGGCAGCCUCCUGGGAUAACACUGACGUUCAUGCCCGAAAGCGUGGGUAGCAAACAGGAUUAG
rnacentral:rRNA from 1 species